rnacentral:rRNA from 1 species
AAGUCGUAACAAGGUUUCCGUAGGUGAACCUGCGGAAGGAUCAUUACCUAGAGUUGUAGGCUUUGCCUGCUAUCUCUUACCCAUGUCUUUUAAGUACCUUCGUUUCCUCGGCGGGUUCGCCCGCCGAUUGGACAAUUUAAACCAUUUGCAGUUGCAAUCAGCGUCUGAAAAAACUUAAUAGUUACAACUUUCAACAACGGAUCUCUUGGUUCUGGCAUCGAUGAAGAACGCAGCGAAAUGCGAUAAGUAGUGUGAAUUGCAGAAUUCAGUGAAUCAUCGAAUCUUUGAACGCACAUUGCGCCCCUUGGUAUUCCAUGGGGCAUGCCUGUUCGAGCGUCAUUUGUACCUUCAAGCUCUGCUUGGUGUUGGGUGUUUGUCUCGCCUCUGCGUGUAGACUCGCCUCAAAACAAUUGGCAGCCGGCGUAUUGAUUUCGGAGCGCAGUACAUCUCGCGCUUUGCACUCAUAACGACGACGUCCAAAAGUACAUUUUUACACUCUUGACCUCGGAUCAGGUAGGGAUACCCGCUGAACUUAAGCAUAUCAAUAAGGGAA